CUGAACCAGCCAAGUAGCGUGAAGGAUGACUGCCCUAUGGGUUGUAAACUUCUUUUAUAAAGGAAUAAAGUCGGGUAUGCAUACCCGUUUGCAUGUACUUUAUGAAUAAGGAUCGGCUAACUCCGUGCCAGCAGCCGCGGUAAUACGGAGGAUCCGAGCGUUAUCCGGAUUUAUUGGGUUUAAAGGGAGCGUAGAUGGAUGUUUAAGUCAGUUGUGAAAGUUUGCGG
rnacentral:rRNA from 2 species